AAUCCUAUUUCUAGUGAAUUCUCCCCUACCAUUGAAGUCCCUGGGUCUCGACCUGUUUGUAGUCCCUCUUUACGAGUACCAGCAGAUGGUGGUGGCACUGAGCCUGUAUCUGGUUCUAGUUCCUUUUCCUUACCAGUACCAGUAGAUGGUAGUAGAGGGGCUGAGUCUGGUUCUAGUUCCUUACCAGCAGAUGGGGAUAUUGGUGUUGAUGUGCCAGUAAAGGGUGCUAAACCAUCUGUUUCUAGGGCAGAAUGCUGGAAGCAUAUGAAUAAGCGGGAGAUUAUCGACGAUGGUAUAAAAAGUUAUAUUGCUAUAUGUCACUAUUGUAAAACUGAGUUGAGUACAGAUUCUGCUCGUGGCACUGGGCAUUUGAAUCGACACUUCAAAGCUUGUUUAAAAAAGGCAGGGAAAACUUUUGGUGCAAGUAUGCAAACUCAACUAAACUCUGUUGCGGACGGCACUGUAAGUACUUGGGUUUACAAUCCACAAUUAGCUCGUGAAGAAAUUAUUAAAUACAUUGUUUCUGAAGACUUACCUAUUAUGAUGGGAGAAAGCCCUAAUUUUAAGAAUCUGAUUCAGCGUGCUUUCUUCCCACAAUACCAACCUGUUAGUAGAACUACUAUAAAAUCUGAUUUGAUGUCUCAGUAUCACAAACAACUUGCUGUUCUUAAAGAAAAUUUUAAAAAAGUUCAG
rnacentral:lncRNA from 1 species